GGCUGCCAACUGUUCAAACCACAUUCAAAUAAGGGCUGUGACCGUCUACGACAAGCUGGCAUCUUUCUUUAAAGAGGCACCUCUGGACCUGCAGCACCGGCUCCUCAUGAAGCUCAGAACCUGAGGACCCAGCCAUGGAGCGGUCAGCCUUCAUGGAGCAGGAUGCUGGGAGCGGGCUGGUGAUGCGUCUCCAUGAGCGGCCAGCCCUGCUGGUCAGCAGCACACCUGGACAGAGUUUGAACAACUGACUCUUCACGGACGCAACCUUCCUUCUCUUGUCUGUGUGAUAACAGGCAAAGGGCCUCUGAGGGAGUAUUACAGCCGCCUCAUCCACCAGAAGCAUUUCCAGCACAUCCAGGUCUGCACCCACUGGCUGGAGGGCCGAGGACUACCCCCGCUUCUAGGUGAGAGGCCAGCAGGAGGCUCAGGGAGGAGGCGGGGACUUAAGCAGGGGUAACAGGCAUGGGCAUGAUGUACUUUUUCUGAAAAGGUGGCUCUGGAGGCCACUUGGGGACAGGACUUGGGCUCUGGCUUAACUCCCAGGAGGAGGCUACUUCCUGGUGUGCCAGCCCCUCCCUGCCAGGUGGCCCCAGAGGCCCUUUACCAAGGGGUUUGAGGAGGCCACGUCCUUUCAGCCUGCCAUGCCCUCCAUUCAGUCCUCUUCCUUCCUGCAGGAGGCCUGGGCCUGGGGUUGGGGCCACUGUUGCCCAGGUGUGGGAGGGCAGUGGCUUUGGGAGGGGGUCGGGGGUCGCUUGGCCUCUGUGUGUCCUACUGUCUUUGUCGGUGAGAUGGGACAAUGACAGCACACCCUCACAGGUGCUGGGGGCUGACAAAUGUCAGGUCUGAGGACAGUGGGUGGCCCACUACGGGGCCAGUUCCCCUUCUCUAUAGUCACCCUGCUCGUCUUCCAUCAACUGGGUGCUCAAGACAGUGGAGUGGAGGAUCCGCCUGUACAGCCUGUGCUCCAGCGUCAUGCAGGCCACAGCUCUGUCCAGCCCUGACCCCGACUGCCCCUCCUGCCACCUCCAUUUUAUAGAUGAGGAAACCGAGGCCCAAGGGCUUAGGGAACCCUGCUCUGAAGCACACAGUAGGGCUGCUGGGCUCAGACCCUCCCUCCCUGUGCUGAGCUACCCUCCUCCUGCUGCAAGCCCCCAAUGCCCCGAGCCCACCCUGCUCACCGGCCUCUGCCCGAGUUCCCCUCAUGGUGUCGGAGUGUGGGGCAUCCUAGCUCUUCCCUGGUGCCCAGCUCUUUCACUUCCACUGGAGUCCUGCAGUGACAGCUCAGGGACAUACAGGCCCAGGCUGGGGUGGGGGCUCACCUAGCUCGGUGGUGAACAGCUGGCACGUCUCUCAAUUGCGGACAGCGAAGGCCACGUAGACCUCAGAAGCCCGCUGGUGCUCCCGGCAGGCAGCCAGCCUCCGCAGGACCCUGACCAGUGACACAAUGGCUUCUGGGCAAUACAGCACAUCUACGGUGAAAGCUUCAGGUUACUGAAAGGGACCAGCGGACAGUUCCAGGUCACGCUGACCUCAGCAGCAGGGCGAGGCCAGAGAGGCAGCGAUCAUAUGAGACUAUUAGAUGCCUUUUGACCAUUUGAGCCAUUAGAUGGAAAGGCAAUUACUUGGGUGAAAAAGGAGAACCCUUAGUAGAGAAAGCUGCAAAAGACCGAAGCAAAAGAAAAAAAUCUCCAGACUCACUGGUGUUCCUUACAAAAACAGCUCUGGUUCUCGGCCUAUCUAGAGGGCUUCAAAUGACACAAAGCCUGACCCUGCUGUGAACUUCGUGUUUCAGGUGUCUGCUGAUUGGUCUGCUGGCUUGCAGGGGUGGGCCUUUGUCCCUGGCCAGCGCUGGACCUGUGGAUUUCAGGACUGUGACCCAGGACCACAGGCAGAGCUCUGUUCGACCAGAGAGGGGACUGAGUGUGCUGGCAGGGCUGAGGGGUUUUUGGUGGCCCAGCCAAACACCACCUUCUCUCAAGGGCCCUGUCCUCGUCCCAGAACUGGUUGUUUUCCUCCUGUGGUCUCUGAAGGACACAGGGCAUGGCUCUGGGACAGAGCCAUGUGGUGAUGACUGUAAUGGGAGUAUGCCUGACUCCAACAAGAGGGCUGUGGCUUGAAGGUCACCUUAAGAGGCACCCCGUCCUUUGAUUUCACCCUGGAGGCCCAGAGUAACUCUUCUGGAAGCCCCAUCAUGUCCAUGCCUGACAGCGCCCAUUGUUCCCUUUUCCCAGAGCCAAGAGCUGGGUAGAGCUGCAAGGACAGUGCCUGCACAGGGUGCUCAGGGCUGGGCAUUACCUGCUGCAAUGACAACAUCUAGCUGGAAGGCAGAGCGCUGAUGGACCGUCACUACGUCCCAGUCCAGCGCUGGGCCAUUGUCACCCUAGGGCUGUCUAAGUUGGCAGUGAUGUCUGCCUCUAAUGAGAGGCCAUUGAGAAGGACAUUUCCUUGGAGCUGCUCGAGGACUCGGCUGUGACAGUCGCUGAAGAUGUAUGCCCGGGGGCGGCAUAUCUUGCAGAUGGCCAGGCCUGUGAGGCUGGCACCACUGCCAAGCUCUAAGACAGACCUGGCGAGAGGAAAGGGGACCGUGUCUGCGACUGCACCAGGGUAAGCCCGCCUCGGUGCCCUGCCCUGCGCCCCAAGGUCACCUGUGAGUGAAGGCUGCCGGGUUCUCGAUGGCCCAUUCUGCAAUGUAGAGGGCGGCAUCCCAUGUGACCAGACCCGUGGUGCUGUGGGAGAUGAUGGCCAUGCUUUCGGAGAGUGUGACCGAGCCUCCCGAGGGCUGCACCAAGAGAGGGCGAGAGAGUCAGUCCAGCAAUCAGAAGGCAAGUGGCUUAGAAGACAAAUAGCCAUCCACCACAUGGCCAAAUAAACCAUGACAGGACCAAUUGCCAGUCAGCAAUGAGAAGCAGCUAACUGUUGACAUGCCAAAAGCUUGCACGGGCCUCAAGGUUGUCAUGCGGCAUGAAAGACACUCAUCUCAGGCCACACAGGAUUCCAUUUAUCCAACAUUCCUGAGACAACAGAAUUCUGGUGAUGGAGCAAAGCCCAGUAAAGUCGCCAUUCCCCAUUUUACAGCUGGG
rnacentral:lncRNA from 1 species